CUUCAGUGUUCCAGGAAAGUCCACCCUCUCCUUCUAGGGGUGGAUCUUAGUGGAUCUAAUGAAUCACACAUGAAAAGAGACGAAAAAGACGAAGGAGUUUCAGGAGAGUAUUGACCAGGUCAAAGGAGAGGGUGGGGGAAAAGAGCCAUGAAAUAAUUGGGAGACAAACUUCUGGGGGCUUUUGAUUGACUGGAUGUGGGAAUGUUGUGGAAGACGUCUGGCCUGCCAUUUCCUGAGAAUGGGACUGCUGAGAGAGGAGCCGGGGGGAGCACUGCAAAUUUCGCUUUGGACACGUGAGUCAUCUGUGAGGGGACCAAGCUGGGAGGGCAAGCAGGGAACUGGACACGUGGCCCUGGAGCACAGAGAAGGGGCUUCAGCAGGCAUAUUUAGGUGUUGCCAUGGUUCCAAUGUUCCCUCCAAAACUCAUGUUGGAAUUUAAUUCCCAAAGUGGCAGCAUGGCGAGGGGGGGCCUGUAAAAGGUGAUUGGAUCAUGAAGGCUCUAUUCUCACUAAUGAAUGGAUUCAUCAUGGGAGAACGGGCAGCUUUGUAAGAGAGGAAGAGAGACCUGUGCUAGCACCUUAGCACGCUCACCCUCUUGCCAUGUCAUGCCCUCAACCCUUCAGGACUCUGCAGAGUCCCCACCAGCAAGAUGGCUCUCACCAAAUGCAGCCCCUCAACUUUGGACUUCUCAGCCUCCAGAGCUAUAAGAAAUAAAUUUCCUUUCUCUAUAAAUUACCCAGUUUCAGAUAUUCCUUGUUUUUAAUUUUUAAUUUUUUUUUUUAUUUUUUGAGACGGAGUCUCACUCUGUCACCCAGGCUGGAGUGCAAUGGCGCGAUCUCAGCUCACUGCAACCGCCGCCCGCCCCAGGGUUCAAGUGAUUCUCCUGCCUCGGCCUCCCGAGUAGCUGGGAUUACAGGCGCCUGCCACCACGCCCGGCUAAUUUUUGUUUUUAGUAGAGAUGGGGUUUCACCAUCUUCGUCAGGUUGGUCUUCAACUCCUGACCUCGUGACCCACCCACCUCGGCCUCCCAAAGUGCUGAGACUGCAAGUGUGAGCCACAGCACCUGGCCCCCGUUUCAGAUACUCUGUUAUAAGCAAUAGAAACAGAGGAAGUAUCUUUGACAUGGAGUGGAUACUGGAAGCCAUGUGACUUCUGUGGGAUCAUCUCGAAAGAAAGUGUAAAAUGAGAAGACACAAGGGCCCAGGAAAGAGCCCUAGGGAACUCAGCAUUUGCACAGCAAGUACCGGGUAAAGGGAGAAAAGGGAGAAGCCUGUCAGGAAGCUGAGGAGGAGCAGCCAGAGGAGGGGGAACCCAGGAGAGCAUGCGGAUAUGGGAGUCAGAAGUGUGUCAGAAGAAAGAAGCAGCUGACAAUGUCAGAAGCUGCCAAGAGGCACAAUAACAUUGAGGGAGGAAGUGAGUGUGGUUGUUUCUUUAUGGGCCAGAGUUUUAAAAUACCAGGAUGAAAGGGCACCUAACAAAUAGCAAAUACACUAACUUUUGUAUUUUGUACCUACCAGACUUCAGACUAAAAAAAGCACAAAGAAUACUUGCCAGGGUACGGAGAAGCCCAGGAAAUUGCAAGAGAUAUCCAGUUUCUGAAAUGAAUUACAAUUAUCAUCUGAAUAAAUAGUGUGAAAAAAUACACACCUGAAAAAAUGUGUGAAAAUGGCCAAGAAAACAUUGAAAAUCAAGGUCACUGGGGGAAGACUUUUACUGCCAGUUAUUAAAAUUUACUAUCAGCUGUACUGACUAGAACAGCUGCCAGAAUAGAUAAUUCAACAAGCCAGGAUGGGAAGCCCUGAGACUUAAGUUUGGUGGGGACUGUACGUAGGCCCCCUGGCUACCUUCUUUCUCGAUGAAUAGGUCACACAUCUAACUCCCUCGCAAUUAGGUUCACCCACUCAGGUGCCCUUGAGUUAGACUGGAAAGGCAGAAGGGAGCGGAGGCCAUUUUCCUGCUGCUUCUGAUGUAGAUGCGAGGCUUCCAUAGGAAAGAGGGGUCCACCUGUAUAAAGAGCCCAACAACCAUAUUCUCCAGAUGUUCAGUCCCUCUUCGCCCCCCCCAAUCCAAAUGACAGUCUGACACACUGACCACGGAGACUCCACCUGCUGGUCCUCCAGGUGGAGUAACUGAUAACAAAAAUCUCUAGCUUACUCCUAAGUGUUUAUUCUGAAGGCAGAGAAUGUACAGCAAGACCAGACUUUUGGCCCAGCUAGCGCUGACUUUGCAAUAUCAAAAUUGCACGUAAACAGACUUAAAAAGCAAAUGACAAACUGGGAAAAUGGCUGUAACAUAGGUGACAAAGGGCUGAUAUUCUAUAAAGAGUUCUUGCGAAUGAAUAAGAUAAAGAUGAAUCCAAGUGGGCAAAAGAUAUGCGCAGGCAAUCUGCAAAAGUGAUGCAUAAAAACAGGUUCAACAUUACUAGUAAUCAGUGGAAUAAAACUUAAAACAACAAUGCGAAACCACUGUUCUAUCAUAUUAACAAAGAUGACAAAAAAUGGUGUGACAGUGCAGGGUGUGGAGAAAAGUUGAUGUCGAAGCUGUGCCGUCUUUCUAUAUGUCUUUCACAUUAAUCAAACGCCUUCAACAACGAGCACCACUUUUGACAUGAGUUCCUGGACUUUAUCCUUAAAAAAAAAACAUGACGUGCACGUAGAUUUAGCUACAAGUAAUUUUGCAAAAGUGAAAAGUUGAAAACAACCCAAAUGUACAAAAAUAGCGGAGAUAAUUAUGGUACAUUUGUAUAAUAGUAUGCCACUUGGUCAUUAAAAAUGCCAUAGAAGUGUAUUUUUCAUAGGCUUAUUUCUGGUUGCUGGUGUUACAGGUGGUUUUUGCUUUUUUAUUUUAUCAUUUUCUAUUUUCCUGUAAUUAUUGCACAUUUUUAAUAACAACGUUUUAAAACUGGCAAUUAUAUGGUGAAAAGGGCAUUAGUAAAUUCUGAAGCAACUGAAAUUGUAACUGACCAUUAAUAAAUAAACAUCAUUACAUACUAACAUUUACCUUAAAUAAACUAGAUUUCAUUUUUCUACUAUGGGAGGAAAGACCUAAAAUACAAAUUGACUCGAAUUAUAGAAAAUAAAGUUACAAUUCAGGAAUAUCUGUCUUUGAACUGUGAAAUUUGUACCUGUUAUGUGUGUGUGCACGCACGCGUGUAUAAAAAAUAUUUGGAUAUCCACUAGUUUAAAACAGUGGUUCCUUUCAGCAGGGUGGGAUGAGAGGGGGACAGGAGACAAUUUUUUGUUUACACAACUCUGUAUGACUUGUUAUAAUAAGCAUGAAAAAUCGAAGGUCACUUAAGUAAAAAUGGCUAUAAUUAUGAAAAUACUUAGAAAUAUGUAAAGUCUCUAUGGUAUGAUUAGAAAUCAUAAUGCAAAAUAUGUAUACUGUGCUUGUAACUAUGUUCAUAUAUUUCCACGUGAGAGAAGCCUGAAGGGGAAUACUCUACAAUGAAAAUAGUUGUUCAAGUUCAUUCAUUCGUUCAUUUAUUCCACAAAUGUGUGCUGAGCUGCUACUAUGUGCAAGGCAACUGUUGCAGGCACCUGGAUACAGCAGGCAAUCAAAAGUCAAAAGUGCCUCCACUCAGGGAACUUAAAUUCUAGUAGCGGGAGACAGACAAUAACAUGGUAAACACAGCGAGUAUUUUAGGAGGCGGUGAGUGAGUGUCGUGGGAAGAGUGGAGCAGGCCAAGGGAGACUAGCAGUGCUCUGGGUCAGGGCCACGUUUAAAUAGGUCGGUCAGGAAAGGCCUCACUGAGGUGACAUGGGAGUGAAGAUUUGAAAGAGCUGAAGGGGUCAGUCCUGGACACGCCUGGACGGGGGGUUUUACAAGUAGACAGCAGCCAGUGCAGAGGCCAGAGGACGCGGACAGCAAGUCAGACAGCUAGGCAACCAGCGGGUUGUCCGGCUCUGCGGCCAUUGUAAGGACUUUGGUAAACUGAGGAGCCGCUGUGCAGCGUGGAGCACAGAACCCACAGGAUCCCUGCGGCUGCUGCAUGGAAACCCGGCGACUGGGAGCGUAGGGAGGGCAGGAGACCGAGGUGCUCAGGCGAGGGAUGAAGGGGGUGCGGACAUGUUGAGGUGCUGCAUCCUAGACACAGACUGAAGGUAGCGUCAACAGGAUUUCCAGUCAGGGUGUGUCGAGAGUGUGAGAGUGAAGCUGGCUCUUCCGGCUCUGGCCUGAGUAAAUGCAGCCGCCAUUAAUGCUGAUGGGAAAGGCAGGCGGGCGGAGCGGGUGGGGGAAGAAAGGGUCUUACUUUCUUCUUCCUUGGAAUAAUAUAUUCCAAGCAAUAUAAUUAAGCAACAUAUAUUUUCUCCUUUAAGAAAAUUCCAAAUAUUAUGGUAUCAUUCCAAAUAAAAAAAUCAUUUCAAGAGUCCUGACGCAGCAACCAUUACACUCCCGGUAACGGGAAUGUUCAGUCCGUCUGUGCUCCGGAGACAUCCCACCGCAGAACACAGGGCCGAGAUUCCGGCGUUCGAAAAGCGGGGGCAAAACGGAGGCUGCAAACCCGUGCCCAGUCCUGAAGACUCUCGAAAAUGUGGGGAGAGCGCUGCACAGGAACUUCGAAAACGAGAGGCGGCUCCUAGGAUCCAGGGUGCGGGAAAACCGCGGGGCACAUUUGGAACUCGGGUCCGACGUCUGAAGGAGCGGAGGCCGCUUCCGAGGAGCCCGGGGCACGCCGGGAACGGCCAGGCCGCCCUCCUCCCGGCAGCCUCGGGGGCCCGGCCACAGGGACCAACAGCACCUGCCGGAGGGCGGGAAGGUCCUGCCUCGUCAAGGGAGGCAGCGAGAAACGGCCGCGAUGAACGAAAUAAAACCUUUCUCCACCACUGGGACGCAGCUCGCGUCCGAGGAAGCAGAACACACCGGCCGCGGAGCUUUCCGAAAGGCUUCGCGCCGGGACCCGCGACCAGCACGGGGGCCCCCACCCUUUUCGAGAAGCCGGGUCAGGCGGGCCGUGGCGGGGCGACCUUUGGGCGGAGGCAGAGGGCAGGGCUGCCCCGCACAGGUUCCGCCCCCACCUCAGCGUCCUCGCCCCGCCCAAGCCCCGCCCAGCAGCCCAAGGGCCAAACCCCCGCGACGCAUGCGUGCUGCUUCCGCGCGCCUCCACCUGCCGUGCGCUUCCGCCGCUGGCCAGGCUCUUCUGCCCCUCCCCCUUCUGUACGGCCGCCACUCUGCGCCCGGCUUCGUUCUCACAACCUGGUUCUGCCCACACCUGCCCUUCAGCCCUGUGAACAGUGGCUGUCGAACAAUCUCAGGCCCUGCACACCCACCUCCCUCGCUCCCGUGGUGGCGGUGGUGAAGGGCUGGGGACGUGGGGUAGAAAAAUCGGCGGCAUGUGGGAGGCCGCGGUGCCGGGGCCCACUUCCGGAGGACGGGCGGAAGUGGCUGCGGUGGAUGGUGGGAGGGGGAAGGAGUGCGAGGGGAGGGCCGGGCCGCUGGGGGUCGAGGGGGUGGGGCCUGGGCCGGCGCUGGGGAUCGGGCCUGGGGCCUGGAUUGCUACCCGGGCGGGCCGCGGCUCUUAGCCGAGGCGGGGCGGGCGGGAACCAGGUUAACACGAAAAUCUGCCACCUGGGCCAUGCCGCUUCUAAGGCCUGUUUCUUAUGAGCCUCCGCAGAAGACAGAUGGGUCCGUUCUUACAGUGGAUAACUUCCCCUGCCUGAGCAAGAGAUGGGAUAGUAUCUGGGAUCUGCCCAUCACCAGACUCUGAGCUUAAUAAGGCAGCUGAAUGAAGGGAGGUAACGGACCCCUGAGAGGGGCACUGAAGUCUGCAGUGGGGGGGGAGGGGCCUGGACACACCCCUUCCCCCCCAGACUCCUCCCCGUCAGGGUCAGCUCAGCCAUGGACUUUGGACCUGGAUAAGAAGAGAGAAGCUGCACUUUGGUGGAUCUGAUUUGGGAUUCUCAGUUUUGAAAAUGGAGUGCUGAAUGGGGGUUUGAUGAUCUCCUGGGGAGCAACUGAGACAAGAGGAAAGGUACUGCUGGCUGCAUAAUGAGUCACCCCAGAACUUAGUGGCUUACAGCAACAGAAUCAUUUCAUUAACGUCUCAGCUACGUGGUUCUUGCUUGUGGUCUUUCACACGGUUGCAGUCAGUGUGAGCAGUCUUCCAUCUAGCCACUUGAACCUCACACAUGUGCCAAGCACUGUGACGGGCACAGAAGUCAGAGUCUUCUUUCCUAAGGAGGAAGGUGGGAGUCAGGUGCGUGUGGCCACAGAUUCUGUUAUGGUGUGGAGAGAGUGCUAUGGGAGUGUAGCCACAGGGAGGCCUGGCUCUGUCUGCGAUGUUGCAGAAGGAGUCACCUGAAGUGGCCUGAAAGGAUGUGUGGGCGGCUGGCAGGGGGUGCCAUGGGCCAGAUUUCAGGGUGAGGGGCCAGCUGGAGCAAAGACCCAGCAGUGUCCAGGUUUGCUUAUUGGGGAAAAAGCAUCCUGCUGAGGCCAGAGUGCAGGGUCCCUGGGGUGGGUGGUGGGAGGUCAGGUUGGAAAGGGAUGUUUGAGCCAGUCUGUAAGAACGGCUUUGUAUGUCAUCAUAAUGAGUUUGAGUUUUAUUUGGUGGGCUGUGCAGCCUCUGAUGGCUUUAAGGCAAGUUAAUGUGACCAGACGUGCUUGUCAGGAGGGAUGCACCGUUGCUGUUGGGAGGGUUUGUGAGAGGGAAGCAGGAUGAGUGACAGGUAGACCAGCUAGGAAACUACAUCAAGAGUCCAGACUUAAGACAGUCCUUCCUAUGAAGGAGUGAGUUCAGGUUAACGGGCUGGAGGGUUUGACAUGGGCCGCUAGCAGUCAGUGAGUAACUUUGUACUUCCAUUCUCACAGUUUUGAAGUUUUUGGGCCUAGACGUAUUUCAGAAUUCAGAAUUUUUGGGGUUUUGAAAAGGUGAUCUGGUGAAUUCACUCUGUAGUGGAAGAUCAGAAGCAGCACAGCAUAAGCCACCAUGUUUAUUUCUGUAGCAAAAUGUAUGAAUAACCACAGCAGGAGAGAUAAAAGACUAUAAAUAGCCCCAUAUUAGAUCAGAUCAGAUUUUAGCAAAUGAGCUUGGAUGAGGCUUUACUGCCAAUUGAGUUUAGAAAACUUCUGUUUUUUAGUGCUUCUUGGAUUUGGCAGUUGCAGUUGAGGAACUGUGGAUGUGUUUAGAUCCCAGGCACGUCUGCUGAAUGUUGAGGGCCCUAGCACAGCGGCUUGGUGGUGCUGGUGGAGCCAAUCCCUGUCUUCAUGUAGCUUGCAGCUGAGGAGACUUGAGAGAAAUCGAGCAGGUGGUUGCGCUCAUUGCUGUUGGUGAAGGGUAGGUGGACCUUAUGUGGUCCCAGGGGUCAAGGAAGGCAUCUUGGCAGAGACACGACAGAGUGUGCCAGGUGAAGAAGAUAGGGAAGAGCAGAGCUGGCUCAAGGGCACAUGCACAGACCCCAGGGGUAGGGUUGGCCAUUGGGGUGCCCGAUGGGAGUGUGGUAGAGUGGAACAAAGAGAAUGGGGAGAAAGGAGUGAAGUAACUGGCCAGUAUUCACGUGGUCAUGCCGGGCACUGUUCUAAACACCUAACAUGGCUUAUCUCAUCUGAUCUUCACAGCAACCCAGUUUGAGUCUCAGAAAUGUGACAAAACGUAGGGUGACGCCUCUGGGCUGUCUGGCUUGCCUUUGUUACUGCUGCACUCUCCUGAUGGUGGCCUGAGCAGACCUGAGCAGUGCUUCCUGGAGGAGCAGGUCACCGCUGCUGGCCAGGGUCUGGGCUUGACCGUCCUUUUGGGCACAGCCAGCUGUGAGAGAGAGUGUGACUCCUGGUUCAUGUGUGUGCACACAGCACUAACUUCCAGGCAGAGCUGAGGAUCGUAUCCCAGGAAUUACAUGGGUAAACAGUAGGAAAAUAGCACUGGGGCCCAGGAUGAGCCUAUGUGAAGAAGCAGGUGGGCUGGAAAUAGGGGUGUCAUGUACUCUUACAGCAAGAGGAGCAAGUUUGAAGCACAGGGUUGUGGGGUGGAGAACAACGGUCCAAGCACUGAAGUGGAGGCCAGGGCUGGGCUGGGGCAGCUUUUCCUGUGGGCUCUCCAGCCACUGCAGAUGUGUGCAGAUUUGCUAAGUAAAAACCCAGUCAGAAGAUUGCUUUGACCUGCAUGACUUAGAAGGGUGGGGCAGGAGGUCCUAAGUGUCAGGUAGUGGGUGUGGGCCACAAAUUCUAAUGUUUGGAGAAGAGUAAAAAGUCAUCUAAAGGGUGCAGAAGUUGUCUGGAGGGUCCCAUGAGGCUUUGCCAUAAGGGCUUGCAGGUCGUUGAUAAGUCAGGGACGGGCUAUCCCUCUAGCCCCCUUUUUUAUUUCUUUUUCUGGGAUGGAGUCUUGCUGUGUCAUCCAGGCUAAAAGGCAGUGGCGCCAU